rnacentral:rRNA from 1 species
CUACGGGAGCACCAGUGGGGAAUAUUGCACAAUGGGCGCAAGCCUGAUGCAGCCAUGCCGCGUGUAUGAAGAAGGCCUUCGGGUUGUAAAGUACUUUCAGCGGGGAGGAAGGGAGUAAAGUUAAUACCUUUGCUCAUUGACGUUACCCGCAGAAGAAGCACCGGCUAACUCCGUGCCAGCAGCCGCGGUAAUACGGAGGGUGCAAGCGUUAAUCGGAAUUACUGGGCGUAAAGCGCACGCAGGCGGUUUGUUAGGUCAGAUGUGAAAUCCCCGGGCUCAACCGGGGAACUGCAUCUGAUACUGGCAAGCUUGAGUCUCGUAGAGGGGGGUAGAAUUCCAGGUGUAGCGGUGAAAUGCGUAGAGAUCUGGAGGAAUACCGGUGGCGAAGGCGGCCCCCUGGACGAAGACUGACGCUCAGGUGCGAAAGCGUGGGGAGCAAACAGGAUUAGAUACCCUUGUAGUC